CCUACGGGUGGCUGCAGUGAGGAAUAUUGGUCAAUGGGCGUAAGCCUGAACCAGCCAAGUCGCGUGAGGGAUGAAGGUUCUAUGUAUCGUAAACCUCUUUUAUAAGGGAAUAAAGGGUGGGACGAGUCCUAUUUUGUAUGUACCUGAUGAAUAAGGAUCGGCUAACUCCGUGCCAGCAGCCGCGGUAAUACGGAGGAUCCGAGUGUUAUCCGGAUUUAUUGGGUUUAAAGGGUGCGUAGGCGGCCUUUUAAGUCAGCGGUGAAAGUCUGUGGCCCAACCAUCGAAGUGCCGUUGAAACUGGGGGGCUGGAGUAUGUGUGAGGCAGGCGGAAUGCGUGGUGUAGCGGUGAAAUGCUUAGAUAUCACGCAGAACCCCGAUUGCGAAGGCAGCCUGCCAAGCCAUGACUGACGCUGAUGCACGAAAGCGUGGGGAUCAAACAGGAUUAGAUACCCGAGUAGUC
rnacentral:rRNA from 1 species